GGAGCCUGGCGCCUGGCUCAGCCACAAAUGUAGGGAUUGCAAGUGACCCCUGACAACCUUCCUCUAGAUGGAGCCUGGCACUUGACCACCAGCUGAAAGACAAUCUCUGAUCUUAGGCCACAGCUCCCCUCCCCCACAGUGACCUCACAAAGGUUACUAGCUUCUCCUCAGACCCAGAGACCCUCUGAGAUGGCCCUUGUUACCCUGGUGGGGAGCACUGUCCUGUUCCCACUGAUCUUCAGGGCAUCCACGUGGGCCUGUCUCUUCUGCUUCACUACCCAUGAGGAACGCCUCCAUGUGUGCCAGAUGUUUGUGGGCACAGAGGGCUCCAAGCUGGGCCAGUGUAAAGAUGCUCUCACAGCUGCCUUUGAGGGUCUCUCAGACAUGGAAAUCAACUAUGAUGAGCGGAGCCACCUGCAUGAUGCAUUUACACAGAUGACCCUCUCCCUCCAGGAGGUGGCUGCAGCUCGUGGGUCCUUUAAGGCUGCGUUCCCUAGUGCUGCAGCAAAAAUGAAGAGGACCAUUCAUCACCUUAAAAAAGUCCAGGACUGCAUCCUCCCUUGUGGCGUCCAGGAGGCCACUAGGCGUUUCCACUGCUGGGGCUGCUUCUCCACAAUCUGUGACCUCCCUCUAGACUGUCCAGGUGAGAGGGCGGAGCUGGGAUGCCAGGGAAAGGGCGAGGCUUGUGCAGGCUUACCAGGAUCACCUUGCCUCUCUCCAGUUCAGGACGUGACGGUGAAGCGAGGGGAUCAGGCUUUGUUUUCUUGUAUCGUGGGCUUCCAAUUGCCAGAAUCGGAGCUCACUUACUCCUGGAAAUUCGCGGCAGGAGGUCUCCGGACUCAGGACGUGUCCUACUUCCGUGAUGUGCCAGGCGCCCACGGGUACCUGGCGCGAAUCCGGCCAGUGCAACCCACGCACCGGGGGACCUUCUCCUGCGUGAUCCUGCACGACCAGCGCCCCCUGGCGCGGCUCUACUUCUAUCUGAACGUGACUGGCCCUCCUCCUCCUGGGGAGACUGAGCUCCAGGUCACGUUCCGGGAAGUGAUGAAUUGGACGCCGCGGGAGGCGGAAACAAUCGAGCCCUGGAGGCCCAGCCUAGGCGAACUGCUUGCCAGGCCCUCGGCUCUGACGCUUGACAACCUGUUCCUGAUCGCGGCAACCGCUGCGUUCGUGUCUGCUGGUGUCACUAUGCUAGUGUGAUGUUGAGAUCUACUAGGGAGCAAGCAAUACAAGCCUGUGGAUGGUGUUUCAAGUUCAAGUCUUGGAGGUGUCACUUUGAGGUGCUGCAGAAACCAGAAGAUGGACCCAACAACAGAUGGGAAUGCAAAGUCUAAGAGACAAGAAGACCCCAAGAAAGCUCAGUAGCAUUCUCUGUAAUGGACCUGACCUAAUUCUGGUCUGUCCAGAGCUGUACCAGCUACCUACUGUCUGCAAAUGACUUGAAAGGGACAAGUCUUGCUGCAUGUGUUUACAGCUGGAGGUAACUAUAAUUAGUGCACUUCUUGCUCCAGGGCAACAGAAGUCACAGGG